CCUUGACCCAAAGACCCAGGUGGGUAAAGUUACGGAACUUUUUUAAUUGAGGUCCAAAGUUGGGGUAGGGUGACCCAUCC